rnacentral:rRNA from 1 species
GACGAACGCUGGCGGCGUGCUUAACACAUGCAAGUCGAACGGAAAGGCCCUGCUUUUGUGGGGUGCUCGAGUGGCGAACGGGUGAGUAACACGUGAGUAACCUGCCCUUGACUUUGGGAUAACUUCAGGAAACUGGGGCUAAUACCGGAUAGGAGCUCCUGCUGCAUGGUGGGGGUUGGAAAGUUUCGGCGGUUGGGGAUGGACUCGCGGCUUAUCAGCUUGUUGGUGGGGUAGUGGCUUACCAAGGCUUUGACGGGUAGCCGGCCUGGGAGGGUGACCGGCCACAUUGGGACUGAGAUACGGCCCAGACUCCUACGGGAGGCAGCAGUGGGGAAUAUUGCGCAACGGGCGGAAGCCUGAUGCAGCAACGCCGCGUGCGGGAUGACGGCCUUCGGGUUGUAAACCGCUUUCGCCUGUGACGAAGCGUGAGUGACGGUAAUGGGUAAAGAAGCACCGGCUAACUACGUG